GGAUCAGACUUUGAUUCUGGCUCAGGAUGAACGCUAGCGGGAGGCCUAACACAUGCAAGCCGAGCGGUAUUUGUUCUUCGGAACAGAGAGAGCGGCGCACGGGCGCGGAACACGUGUGCAACCUGCCUUUAUCUGGGGGAUAGCCUUUCGAAAGGAAGAUUAAUACCCCAUAAUAUAUUGAGUGGCAUCAUUUGAUAUUGAAAACUCCGGUGGAUAGAGAUGGGCACGCGCAAGAUUAGAUAGUUGGUGAGGUAACGGCUCACCAAGUCAAUGAUCUUUAGGGGGCCUGAGAGGGUGAUCCCCCACACUGGUACUGAGACACGGACCAGACUCCUACGGGAGGCAGCAGUGAGGAAUAUUGGACAAUGGGUUAGCGCCUGAUCCAGCCACCCCGCGUGAAGGACGACGGCCCUAUGGGUUGUAAACUUCUUUUGUAUAGGGAUAAACCUACUCUCGUGAGAGUAGCUGAAGGUACUAUACGAAUAAGCACCGGCUAACUCCGUGCCAGCAGCCGCGGUAAUACGGAGGGUGCAAGCGUUAUCCGGAUUUAUUGGGUUUAAAGGGUCCGUAGGCGGAUCUGUAAGUCAGUGGUGAAAUCUCACAGCUUAACUGUGAAACUGCCAUUGAUACUGCAGGUCUUGAGUAAAUUUGAAGUGGCUGGAAUAAGUAGUGUAGCGGUGAAAUGCAUAGAUAUUACUUAGAACACCAAUUGCGAAGGCAGGUCACUAAGAUUUAACUGACGCUGAUGGACGAAAGCGUGGGGAGCGAACAGGAUUAGAUACCCUGGUAGUCCACGCCGUAAACGAUGCUAACUCGUU
rnacentral:rRNA from 1 species